rfam:Gymnopus luxurians FD-317 M1 unplaced genomic scaffold GYMLTscaffold_17, whole genome shotgun sequence.
CCGACCUUAGCUCAGUUGGAAGAGCACAAGACUGUAAAGGAAAACUGUAAUCUUGGGGUCGCCUGUUCGAACCAGGCAGGUCGGA